GUUAGCGAGAGCUGCUUUAUUUUGUGCAGUAUCCUUAUUGUGUAUCGAGCUAAUCUCCGAAUUGUCUGCCUUACAGAGUGCCCUUAAAGUGUUCGAUAUAAUGCCUCCGAGAUCUCGGGACAAAAUGGUAUGCCUUGGAUGAAAUUUAUUUGGAUCUUAGAUCUUAAAAUACUUCACAUUUCUCGGGGAAAUAUUACUAAACUCGUGGGGUUUUUAAUAGUGUGUUUGUAGGAUAUCUACUAAUAGUGUCGUGUCAGCAGCUAUGAUAUGAAAGCAUUUCUUUCGAGUCCAGGUGCUCGGGGCAAGAACUAACAAGCUUCUUCAAAUUGAUGAAGAAUUCAACUUUUUUUGAGGGUGAUCUCUGAAUUCUUUUUUUUUCCCCCAUUUGGAUUACAUGGUCGGCGAAAUAGUCUCAUAUGAGCCCUCAUCCACAGUCUCUAAAUUCUGAUCUGACGAGAUAGUAACCAAAACCUAUUAAUUAGUACUUUUGCAUAGAAGAAAGAAAAAAAUGUUUGGAAAGUCUAAAGCUUGAAUUAGAGCUAUUGAGAUUAUUAGGGCUUAUCUUAUCACUGCGGUGAUCUUUUUGCAUAGGAGUGUAAUUGAGUUGCAAACUCAACUCACUUUAGCUGACAACUUAGAUCGAUUAGUUUAGUUGGAUUUUGAUUUGGGAGAGCAGGGGAUGGAUGCUCUAGGAAAUUCAUUUCUAAAGCUUCUUUGGUAUUUUUUGUUCUUAGUUUAUUGCUUGCUCCUCGUUUUGUAGUGGAUAGAAUUAAAAUAACACGUUCUGAGUGCACUUAAUUUGAGUCGUCAAUUAUAUCUUCCUGCAAAGACGUCAGCUGAGUCAAAAGAAGGAGAUCUUCCUCUUAUAGUGGCCAUACAUUUUUGCAGCCUAUGGCUCCAAUUGAAGACACUUUGACGGCUGUAAAGCGGACCUGGUUGUCUGUGAUGGUGCUCCAGAUGUUACCGGUUUGCAUGACAUGGAUGAAUUUGUCCAGUCCCAUCUCAUUUUAGCUGGCUUAACUGUAACCCAUGUUCUUAAAGGUGGAAAAUAUAUUGCAAAGAGAUUCCGCGGAAAAGAUACAACUCUCUUGUGCUGUCAAGUAAGUUUACAUGCUGUGCUCAUGAAUUUAACUGUCAAAUUUAGUGAUGAAGCUAAGAAGAAGAGAUCAGUGGGAAGAAGUAGAUUAAAGGAGCUGAGAGAAGAAAGGUUGUAGAGGAAGAGGAUUGAGAAGGAAAGAGAGAGAGCCCUUUUCAUGAAACAGAGCCAGAGAAACUGUGGUUUUUCCCGGAGGCGGUGAUGGAAAUCAAAAGGAUGACAAAGAAGACUUGAUGCAAAGAUUCAAAGAUGGUUUCGACGUCUGAGAUGCCCCUUCUUUUGUCGUCCAUCUAUAUGUGUGUAUAGAGAUGUUUCUACAAAUAGAAAAAUGGAAAGGACGUGUAGUGAUUUUGAUGGUGGAAUCAUUUAGUUAUUGCUUCCUGCUCUCAGAGAGUUAUGUGUCCCUUAAAUUUGAUACUCAUAGCAACAAUCUUGUAAGAAUGUUUUUGCAAUUCGACAGAGACAUUUGGAAAAUGAUAACAAAAUGAGAGGACUCAUAAAGGA